GUGACAUUGAGUGACAUUUUCCCAGGCAAUAUUGUCCUUUAAAAUACGGUUCUGUACAAGCUUUAUGUAAAAUUCAUUCAAUUAUUCAGGAUUUUUGUUACAUGUGUACAUAAUACAUUGCUCAUGACAGAUCUAAAUCUCUGUUUGAAUAGUAUACUUCUGCUCAAUCAGUGCACUUCUGGUAGAUGUUUUGAAUUUUUAUGCAGCUUCAACCGGCACUGUGUUCUAUCUAGCAGACGUUGCCAAUAAAAAGGAAGAUGGAUUUGUUCAGGAAAAACAUGCCGGGCAGUUUGACAGCCACGGUGAAAACACAAUGACAGAGAAGCACUGUGAAUGUCCAAACAACAAGGCCAGGCAGACUUUCCAGGCGAUGAGCUUCUCUCUGGCGUUGAGGAUGACAGGAUAGCGCACCUCUUUUCCUUCACUGUCUCGUUCCACCUUUCCAUCCAGAGCGGGAGAUUUACGGGCCUCGGCGUGGGCAUAGUCUGGACCCACUGUGUACACCUGAGGCGAUAUGUACGCACGUGUACGCAAACACACACCAGAACAUAUGAAUAAACAGAACACAUGCUUGGGAA